rnacentral:sRNA from 12 species
AAAAAUCUUACUAACUAUAUUAGUUUUACCAUUUGUAACAACUGUAAAAGCUGUUACAGUCGCUCUGCUCGAAGCGAUGUAGCAUUGGAAACAAUGGUACUAUGAAUUGUAGCGGGUGUGUGGCAACCCCAAAUAGUCACGGUGGUACUCUGUGCGGGUAUUCUAACAACGAUAUAAUUUAGAAAGUAAGCUAAAUCGGGACUUCUGGGGCGGAGUACAGAAGAAUAGACGAACUAGUCUAUGUUAGAAUAAGU